rnacentral:rRNA from 1 species
GUCCACGCCGUAAACGAUGAUCACUCGUUGUCGGCGAUACACCGUCGGCGACCGAGCGAAAGCAUUAAGUGAUCCACCUGGGGAGUACGUUGGCAACAAUGAAACUCAAAGGAAUUGACGGGGGCCCGCACAAGCGGAGGAACAUGUGGUUUAAUUCGAUGAUACGCGAGGAACCUUACCUGGACUUAAAUGUAGGAUGCAUAGAGUAGAGAUAUUCUUUUCUUCGGACUUCUUACAAGGUGCUGCAUGGUUGUCGU